rnacentral:rRNA from 1 species
AGAGUUUGAUCAUGGCUCAGAACGAACGCUGGCGGCAGGCUUAACACAUGCAAGUCGAACGCACUCUUCGGAGUGAGUGGCAGACGGGUGAGUAACGCGUGGGAACGUACCCUUCAGUUCGGAAUAACCCAGGGAAACUUGGGCUAAUACCGGAUACGUCCGCAAGGAGAAAGAUUGAUCGCUGAAGGAUCGGCCCGCGUCGGAUUAGCUAGUUGGUGAGGUAACGGCUCACCAAGGCAACGAUCCGUAGCUGGUCUGAGAGGAUGAUCAGCCACACUGGGACUGAGACACGGCCCAGACUCCUACGGGAGGCAGCAGUGGGGAAUAUUGGUCAAUGGGCGCAAGCCUGAACCAGCCAUGCCGCGUGAGUGAAGAAGGCCUUAGGGUUGUAAAGCUCUUUCAGCGGGGACGAUAAUGACGGUACCCGCAGAAGAAGCCCCGGCUAACUUCGUGCCAGCAGCCGCGGUAAUACGAAGGGGGCUAGCGUUGUUCGGAAUUACUGGGCGUAAAGCGCGCGUAGGCGGGCAUUUAAGUCAGGGGUGAAAUCCCAGGGCUCAACCCUGGAACUGCCUUUGAUACUGGAUGCCUGGAGUUCGGGAGAGGUGAGUGGAAUUCCGAGUGUAGAGGUGAAAUUCGUAGAUAUUCGGAGGAACACCAGAAGCGAAGGCGGCUCACUGGCCCGAUACUGACGCUGAGGCGCGAAAGCGUGGGGAGCAAACAGGAUUAGAUACCCUAGUAGUCC